AGUGAACGCUGGCGGUAGGCCUAACACAUGCAAGUCGAACGGCAGCACAGUAAGAGCUUGCUCUUACGGGUGGCGAGUGGCGGACGGGUGAGGAAUACAUCGGAAUCUACUUUUUCGUGGGGGAUAAUGUAGGGAAACUUACGCUAAUACCGCAUACGACCUACGGGUGAAAGCAGGGGAUCUUCGGACCUUGCGCGAUUGAACGAGCCGAUGUCGGAUUAGCUAGUUGGCGGGGUAAAGGCCCACCAAGGCGACGAUCCGUAGCUGGUCUGAGAGGAUGAUCAGCCACACUGGAACUGAGACACGGUCCAGACUCCUACGGGAGGCGGCAGUGGGGAAUAUUGGACAAUGGGCGCAAGCCUGAUCCAGCCAUACCGCGUGGGUGAAGAAGGCCUUCGGGUUGUAAAGCCCUUUUGUUGGGAAAGAAAAGCAGCAGGUUAAUACCCCGCUGUUCUGACGGUACCCAAAGAAUAAGCACCGGCUAACUUCGUG
rnacentral:rRNA from 1 species